UGCCAGCAUCCGCGGUACUCCUUAUUUCCCGAUCGUUGUCCGGAUUUAUUGGGCGUAAAGCGAGCGCAGGCGGUUAGAUAAGUCUGAAGUUAAAGGCUGUGGCUUAACCAUAGUACGCUUUGGAAACUGUUUAACUUGAGUGCAAGAGGGGAGAGUGGAAUUCCAUGUGUAGCGGUGAAAUGCGUAGAUAUAUGGAGGAACACCGGUGGCGAAAGCGGCUCUCUGGCUUGUAACUGACGCUGAGGCUCGAAAGCGUGGGGAGCAAACAGGAUUAGAUA
rnacentral:rRNA from 1 species